rnacentral:lncRNA from 1 species
GUAUAUCAAGGCCUUUUACAAUGAAACCUGGUACAGAAGGCAUGGACAGCCCAUAGAUCCGGAUACCCUGACCCUGCUCUGGUCUGUAACUGUGUCCAUAUUCGCGAUUGGUGGCCUGGUGGGAACACUGAUGGUGAAGAUGAUUGGAAAGUUUCUUGGAAGGAAGUACACACUGCUGGUCAACAACGGAUUUGCCAUUUCUCCAGCACUGGUUUGACCAGUGUGUGUCAGUAUAGAUUGCAACGUAUAGAUUUGACAAGGUCCUGUCCCAAAAUGACUGAUGUGAAUUGUAAAACAAAAAUCAUAACAUGGCAUUCACUUGAAGAUUUAAGUAUUCUGUCAAUAAAUAUUUAUUAGCCAAUC